AACCGCGGUUAUACGAGAGGCCCAAAUUGACGCACCACGGCGUAAAGUGUGAUUAGAGAUCAACCCAGACUAAAGCCGAACACCCCUUAUGCUGUCAUACGCCAUGGGGGUCACGAAGCUCAACAGCGAAAGUGGCUUUAUGAAUCUUGAACUCACGACAGCUAGGACA
rnacentral:rRNA from 1 species